UUUUUCGAUUUUUCGAUUUUUUAUGUUUUUUCUGUUUUACUUAUUCUUUCACUUAACUUCCUCAUCAUUCA
rnacentral:ribozyme from 1 species